rnacentral:rRNA from 1 species
UUCGCAAUGCCCGAAAGGGUGACGAAGCGACGCCGCGUGUGGGAAGAAGGCCUUCGGGUUGUAAACCACUGUCGGGAGUUAAGAAAUGUAAGGGUGUUAAUAGCAUUCUUACUUGACGUUAGCUCCGGAGGAAGCCACGGCUAACUCUGUGCCAGCAGCCGCGGUAAUACAGAGGUGGCAAGCGUUGUUCGGAAUUAUUGGGCGUAAAGAGCACGUAGGCGGCCCUGCAAGUCAGCUGUGAAAUCCUUCUGCUCAACGGAAGAACGGCAGUUGAUACUACAGGGCUCGAGUGCGGGAGGGGAGAGUGGAACUUCUGGUGGAGCGGUGAAAUGCGUAGAUAUCAGAAGGAACAUCGGCGGCGAAAGCGACUCUCUGGCCCGUAACUGACGCUGAGGUGCGAAAGCUAGGGGAGCAAACGGGAUUAGAUACCCCGGUAGUCCUAGCCGUAAACG